rnacentral:rRNA from 1 species
UUGGAGGGCAAGUCUGGUGCCAGCAGCCGCGGUAAUUCCAGCUCCAAUAGCGUAUAUUAAAGUUGUUGCAGUUAAAAAGCUCGUAGUUGAAUUUCGGGGUUAGUAGGUUGGUCAUGCCUCUGGUAUGUACUGGUCUCACUGAUUCCUCCUUCCUGAUGAGCCGUAAUGCCAUUAAUUUGGUGUUGCGGGGAAUUUGGACUGUUACUUUGAAAAAAUUAGAGUGUUUAAAGCAAGCUAACGCUUGAAUACAUUAGCAUGGAAUAAUGAAAUAGGACGUUCGAUCCUAUUUUGUUGGUUUCUAGGAUUGACGUAAUGAUUAAUAGGGAUAGUUGGGGGCAUUAGUAUUCAAUUGUCAGAGGUGAAAUUCUUGGAUUUAUUGAAGACUAACUACUGCGAAAGCAUUUGCCAAGGAUGUUUUCAUUAAUCAAGAACGAAAGUUGGGGGAUCGAAGACGAUCAGAUACCGUCGUAGUCUUAACCAUAAACUAUGCCGACUAGGGAUCGGAUGAUGUUAAUUUUUUAAUGACUCAUUCGGCGCCUUACGGGAAAC